CAAUAGCGUAUAUUAAAGUUGUUGCGGUUAAAAAGCUCGUAGUUGGAUUUCUGCUGAGGACGACCGGUCCGCCCUCUGGGUGAGUAUCUGGUUCGGCCUGGGCAUCUUCUUGGAGAACGUAUCUGCACUUGACUGUGUGGUGCGGUAUCCAGGACUUUUACUUUGAGGAAAUUAGAGUGUUUCAAGCAGGCACACGCCUUGAAUACAUUAGCAUGGAAUAAUAAGAUAGGACUUUGGUCUAUUUUGUUGGUUUGCAGACCGAAGUAAUGAUUAAUAGGGAUAGUUGGGGGUAUUUAUAUUCCAAUGUCAGAGGUGAAAUUCUUAGAUUUUUGGAAGAUAAACUUAUGCGAAAGCAUUUACCAAGGAUGUUUUCAUUAAUCAAGAACGAAAGUUAGGGGAUCGAAGAUGAUUAGAUACC
rnacentral:rRNA from 1 species